rnacentral:rRNA from 1 species
UACGUAGGGUGCGAGCGUUGUCCGGAAUUAUUGGGCGUAAAGAGCUUGUAGGCGGUUUGUCGCGUCUGCUGUGAAAAUCCGGGGCUCAACCCCGGACUUGCAGUGGGUACGGGCAGACUAGAGUGUGGUAGGGGAGACUGGAAUUCACGGUGUAGCAGUGAAAUGCGUAGAUAUCGUGAGGAAGACCGGUGGCGAAGGCGGAUCUCUGGACAGUUCCUGACGCUGAGGCGCGAAAGCGUGGGGAGCAAACAGG